rnacentral:rRNA from 1 species
GAUGAACGCUGGCGGCGUGCCUAAUACAUGCAAGUCGAGCGAACAGACGAGGAGCUUGCUCCUUUGACGUUAGCGGCGGACGGGUGAGUAACACGUGGAUAACCUACCUAUAAGACUGGGAUAACUUCGGGAAACCGGAGCUAAUACCGGAUAAUAUAUUGAACCGCAUGGUUCAAUAGUGAAAGACGGUUUUGCUGUCACUUAUAGAUGGAUCCGCGCCGCAUUAGCUAGUUGGUAAGGUAACGGCUUACCAAGGCAACGAUGCGUAGCCGACCUGAGAGGGUGGUUGGCCACACUGGAACUGAGACACGGUCCAUACUCCUACGGGAGGCAGCAGUAGGGAAUCUUCCGCAAUGGGCGGAAGCCUGACGGAGCAACCCCGCGUGAGUGGUGAAGGUCUUCGGAUCGUGAAACUCUGUUAUUAGGGAAGAACAAAUGUGUAAGUAAAUAUGCACGUCUUGACGGUACCUAAUCAGAAAGCCCCGGCUAACUACGUG